UGUAAGCGUAUACCAAAGUUGUUGCAGUUAAAACGCUCGUAGUCGGAAUUUGGCAGUUCCGGAUGUGUGCACGUCGUGUGCGCGCUUCGCGGGGAUUGCUUUUGUGGUCUUGCGUAGGAUGAGGCACUUUUAUUAGUGAACGUCCUCACGCAACCACUUUUUACUGUGAGAAAAUCAGAGUGCUCAAAGCAGGCAUUUGCCGUGAAUGUAUUAGCAUGGAAUAAUAGAAUAGGACUUGGUUCUAUUUUGUUGGUUUGUUGGGACUGAGUAAUGAUUAAGAGGGACAGUUGGGGGCAUUUGUAUUCCGGCGCUAGAGGUGAAAUUCUUAGAUUGCCGGAAGACAAACUGCUGCGAAAGCGUCUGCCAAGGAUGUUUUCAUUGA
rnacentral:rRNA from 1 species